AUACGGAGGAUCCGAGCGUUAUCCGGAUUUAUUGGGUUUAAAGGGAGCGUAGGUGGACAGUUAAGUCAGUUGUGAAAGUUUGCGGCUCAACCGUAAAAUCGCAGUUGAUACUGGCUGUCUUGAGUACAGUAGAGGUGGGCGGAAUUCGUGGUGUAGCGGUGAAAUGCUUAGAUAUCACGAAGAACUCCGAUCGCGAAGGCAGCUCACCGGGCCGGAACUGACACUGAUGCUCGAAAGUGCGGGUAUCAAACAGGAUUAGAUACCCUGGUAGUCCGCACAGUAAACGAUGAAUACUCGCUGUUUGCGAUACACUGUAAGCGGCCAAGCGAAAGCGUUAAGUAUUCCACCUGGGGAGUACGCCGGCAACGGUGAAACUCAAAUGAAUUGACGGGG
rnacentral:rRNA from 1 species